rnacentral:rRNA from 1 species
GACGAACGCUGGCGGCGUGCUUAACACAUGCAAGUCGAACGGAAAGACGCUGCUUUUGUGGGGUUCUCGAGUGGCGAACGGGUGAGUAACACGUGAGUAACCUGCCCUUGACUUUGGGAUAACUUCAGGAAACUGGGGCUAAUACCGGAUAGGAGCUCCUGCUGCAUGGUGGGGGUUGGAAAGUUUCGGCGGUUGGGGAUGGACUCGCGGCUUAUCAGCUUGUUGGUGGGGUAGUGGCUUACCAAGGCUUUGACGGGUAGCCGGCCUGAGAGGGUGACCGGCCACAUUGGGACUGAGAUACGGCCCAGACUCCUACGGGAGGCAGCAGUGGGGAAUAUUGCACAAUGGGCGGAAGCCUGAUGCAGCAACGCCGCGUGCGGGAUGACGGCCUUCGGGUUGUAAACCGCUUUCGCCUGUGACGAAGCGUGAGUGACGGUAAUGGGUAAAGAAGCACCGGCUAACUACGUG